AUACGGAUGGUGCGAGCGUUGUUCGGAAUUACUGGGCGUAAAGGGCGCGUAGGCGGCGAUGUAAGUCAAAUGUGAAAGUCCUCGGCUUAACCGGGGAAGUGCAUCUGAAACUGCAUUGCUUGAGUAUGGGAGAGGAAAGUGGAAUUCCCGGUGUAGAGGUGAAAUUCGUAGAGAUCGGGAGGAAUACCGGUGGCGAAGGCGACUUUCUGGACCAAUACUGACGCUGAGGCGCGAAAGCGUGGGGAGCAAACAGGAUUAGAUACCCUAGUAGUCC
rnacentral:rRNA from 1 species